rnacentral:rRNA from 1 species
AGUGAACGCUGGCGGUAGGCCUAACACAUGCAAGUCGAACGGCAGCACAGUAAGAGCUUGCUCUUACGGGUGGCGAGUGGCGGACGGGUGAGGAAUACAUCGGAAUCUACUUUUUCGUGGGGGAUAACGUAGGGAAACUUACGCUAAUACCGCAUACGACCUACGGGUGAAAGCAGGGGAUCUUCGGACCUUGCGCGAUUGAAUGAGCCGAUGUCGGAUUAGCUAGUUGGCGGGGUAAAGGCCCACCAAGGCGACGAUCCGUAGCUGGUCUGAGAGGAUGAUCAGCCACACUGGAACUGAGACACGGUCCAGACUCCUACGGGAGGCAGCAGUGGGGAAUAUUGGACAAUGGGCGCAAGCCUGAUCCAGCCAUACCGCGUGGGUGAAGAAGGCCUUCGGGUUGUAAAGCCCUAUUGUUGGGAAAGAAAAGCAGCAGGUUAAUACCCCGCUGUUCUGACGGUACCCAAAGAAUAAGCACCGGCUAACUUCGU